AGUGAACGCUGGCGGUAGGCCUAACACAUGCAAGUCGAACGGCAGCACAGUAAGAGCUUGCUCUUACGGGUGGCGAGUGGCGGACGGGUGAGGAAUACAUCGGAAUCUACUUUUUCGUGGGGGAUAACGUAGGGAAACUUACGCUAAUACCGCAUACGACCUACGGGUGAAAGCAGGGGAUCUUCGGACCUUUCGCGAUUGAAUGAGCCGAUGUCGGAUUAGCUAGUUGGCGGGGUAAAGGCCCACCAAGGCGACGAUCCGUAGCUGGUCUGAGAGGAUGAUCAGCCACACUGGAACUGAGACACGGUCCAGACUCCUACGGGAGGCAGCAGUGGGGAAUAUUGGACAAUGGGCGCAAGCCUGAUCCAGCCAUACCGCGUGGGUGAAGAAGGCCUUCGGGUUGUAAAGCCCUUUUGUUGGGAAAGAAAAGCAGUAGGUUAAUACCCCGCUGUUCUGACGGUACCCAAAGAAUAAGCACCGGCUAACUUCGUG
rnacentral:rRNA from 1 species